UUUUUUUUUCUUUUUUUUUUUUUCCCCCUCUGAGACAGGGUUUCUGUAGCCCUGGCUGUCCUGGAACUCACUUUUGUAGACCAGGCUGGCCUCGAACUCAGAAAUCCGCCUGCCUCUGCCUCCCGAGUGCCGGGAUUAAAGGCGUUAUGCUGCCAUGCCCGGCUGUGCUGGGGAGGGGGUGUUUCUCAUCUUUUAUUACUCUUAUUUUUUUAUCCAUAGGUUAGGAGAGUCCACUCAUAUAAAGCACUUGGGUAGAGAAUGGCUGUGUUUAAAUAUCAGGCACUUUGGAAUGAAUACUGAAAGGGAAGAAGUAAUGAUGAAGAAGAGAAUGAAUUGCAAAGUGCUUCUGAGGUUUCUCAUUUCUUACAGUUGAGACAUUUUCCUAAUAAUAUGUGUCUUCCAUGUCUUUUGACAUUUCCAGUUUACUUGAAUUAAUAUUAUGUUCUUAAAUAUAAAUAAAGUCUUGAGGAUUCUGUUAUUUUCUCUUAGUAGAGUUGGAGGUCUCCAUGGCAGCAAAGAACAGUAAAGUUGCUAAAAUAGUAGGACAGUCUUGUUUUGUUUUGCUGAGGUAGGUUUUUACAUAUCCCUGGCUGGCUGUAUAGUCACUGAGGUCCUCUUUCCUCUUUCUGCCUCCUGAGAUACGAUAGAAGCCAUGUGCCACCAAGACUUGCCUUUGUGAGAGCUUUUUUUUUUUUUUUAAAGAUUUUAUUUUAUUUUAUGUAUAUGAGUACCUUGUUGCUGUCUUCAGACACACCAGAACAGGGCGUUGGAUUCCAUUACAGAUGGUUGUGAGGCACCAUGUGGUUGCUGGGGAUUGAACUCAGGACCUCUGGAAGAACAGUCAGUGCUCUUAACCACUGAGCCAUCUCUCCAGCCCCCGUGAGAGCUUUAAAUGAUGUUUUUAUAGCUUAAGAGUUAUUUGAAACCACUAACUUCUGUGAUUCUUCUACUCUAUUACAGUUUCUUGAUAUUUUUCUCCUCUCUUUUUGUUAAGGGAAUGGUAAUAGUGCUGAGAGUAUUAGACUAUAGAAUAGAAUAGAAGAAUUGUUGAAAUGUAAGUUAAGUUAUAUUUGUAAGUUACCUUAUAAUUAGCAAAUUGCUUUCUUGAGCAACGUGUUUUGAUGCUUGAAAUCACUUGAUAGAAUAUGUAAUAUUGCUAUUUAUAAGGAAAAAGUGGUGAGUCAUUUUCUUAUGCAUGUGUUAAUUGGAAGUUGAUUCAUACUGUUGCUUAUAAAUUUACACUCUUCGUUAUCUAUAGCAACACCAAAAAGAUGGUUAGAGAUUACCUGAAAAGUUAGUUCUGUCGUAGUUUCUAGUAUGUUUGCCAGUUUGUUCUGCUAUCACCUCUAAUUCUCCGUGUUUUCAUGGUUUCAAAAAUAUAACAUUGGCUUCAUUUCCUAUUUUCUUUUAUUCUGACUCCUGUGUCAUACUCUGAACUUUUUUUUUUUUUUGGUACAUAAAAUAUGUGACCUUUUAUGCCUGCCCUUUCUUCACUUAGUCUAUAGGUAUGUCUAUUAUAACUUAAUUAUUUCUAUGGCUGCAUAAUAUUUCAUUGUAUAGAGUUCUCUUUCUUUUUUCUUCUUUUGAAGAUAGGGACUUGAAGUGUAGUCUGGUCUAGAGUCCACUGUGUAGCUCAGGCUGGCUCAGACUAAUUUUGUACUUCACGCUCACAUGGUAGGAUUAAAGGCAGGCACCCCAAGCCUGUUUCUGACUUUGUAUCUAUGGUGAUAGUGCUGAGAGUCUUAGACUGUACUAUGUGUCUUCAUGUAUUAGUUGAUGGCUAUUUCAAUUUCUACUUUUUGCCUGUAAGGAAAUAAUAGUAAUACAAGCUUCUCUCUAUAAUAGUGGUUCUCCCCCUUCUACCCUUUAAAACACCUCCUCAUGUUGUGCUGACCCCCAAACAUAACUGAAAUUUUGCUAGUUAUGAAUUUUAAUUUAAAUACCUGAUAUCCAGAAUAUCUGAUAGGCAACCAUUAUGAAAUGUCAUUUAAUCCCCAAAGGGCUCUCGGCCCACAGUUUGAGAACCACUGGUCUAUAACCAAUUUUUGUGUGUAAGUUAUUUCUCUAAGAUAAAGGUAAAAAUAUACCUGAAUAGGACAAAACAAAUGGACAAGAAAACAAAACAAAACAAAACAAGAACCAAGGAAUAAACACAAAUACGUACAGAUGGAGAGGCACGCAUAGUCACACCUUUUUUUUUGUUUUAAAAACAAAAACAAAACUCAGACAAAACAUGAUAUC
ensembl:sense_intronic Gm43061 predicted gene 43061